GUUGAACCUGCAGGAAAUCACGUUUAUGACAUGCGUUAUGCUUUUAAUCACCACUGUAGCACAUUUAGCCUGGGGUCCUGAAUUACUACACAGAAUAAUUACAUGAAUAAUACAAAUAUAUAAUAAUAUACAAAAUAAUAAUAAAUAAUACAAAAAUAAUUCAAGCACAACGCUGCUGAGUUCUGGAUCGUGAUUGGGUCAGAAGGUGUUGAUUAGUUCUCCGUAACAGCAGCUCUGACAGUAGUGUUAUCGUUUCUAUAGUAACAGCUCGUUUAUACACGCCACAUAAACAUUAAAAGGAAAGUCCAUUAACAUGGAAGGAGUCUCCAGUGUCGGUGCUUUGUAACAGUCUGGACAAAGGAGUUUAUAAUAAAAGUUUUAUAAUAAGUUCAAAUUUAGGAAUAAUAAACACUUCAGGACGUGCUGUUUAUAGUAAAACAGCCACCUUGGGGUGGACACCUGGUCAUCGAUUAUUUAUUUAUUUUUAAAUAAUAGCACGUCAUGUCAUGUUUUCUACCUCACUUAAUACCAUGAGUUUAGAAUUUCAAGGAAACAUCACUAGACAUCACUACAGUUCUGAUCCUGGUCUCGAUUUAUAUCUUAACUCCAGAACGGCAGAUUUCUGGACCUGACACCAUACGUCUCGUACCAGUCGUCGCUCUCUUCGUCGUAGUACUUGUAGCCGCCAACCAUGUACAAGCGGCCGUCCGUCACCUGGAAGAAGAAGAAGAGGAAGAAGAAGGCGGCGUCAUGGUGAAGAGAGCGAUUACAGACACUUCACUGACUCUCAGCACUGGAAGUUCUUACCGCAAACACUCGGUUGUUCAGAGCGAUGAUGCUCACGACACUGCUUUGGAUGGGCAUCGGUUCGAUUCGCGUCCACUGAUCGUAACGAGGUUUGAAACACUCGGCCGUGAAAAGGCACUCAUUGCCGUUGAGUCCUCCACAGAUGUAGAUCUAAAGGAACCCCAAACCAAGAAGGUUCUGGGUGUUUCCAUUUCAAGCUUUCAGGUUCCCUCAGGGACUGUAACAUUUUAAAUAAUGUUUGUUUAUUUAUUUAAUUGGUGCAGUCGUGUUUGGAGCAGCUCUGAGAACUUGACUGGUCUAGAAGAUACUAAGGACUGACUUGUACCUUGUGUUGUACCCACUGAUACCUUCAUGCCCACCAUGAAGCUAACUGCAGGUCAUGAUUAUCUACAGCGCUGUGCGUUAACCGACCUCCAGGUGAACACUGAUUGGUUGGCGGAGAAGAAGUCUGGAAAAGUAUAACUUGGUGGUAAAGAUCAGUGAAAGUGUGCACAUUUCACUCUUACCUUGGCCAGUAAGGUCAUAGACCGGAACUUCUAGAAUUCCAGCAUUCUUAGAACCAGCUCACGCCAUAGUGAAGGAUCUCAGAAUCAACAGUAGCUUCUCUUAUUUAUUUAUUUAUUUAUUAUUGAGGGACAUUGUUUUAUAUUUAUUAUUAUUAUUGCUGUACUUUUUAUUUAUCGGAGAGAAGCCUGUGAAAUAAACCCUCUGCUUCACGUCACUAAGCUGUGGCCUCAAACUACAUGAUUUCAUGAUUAGUGUUUAAUUUAAGUUUCCCAACAUCAAACACAGUAUAUUAUAAUGACAUUGAUAUUAUAAUAAACCCCGGAAGCACCACAUUCACCUGUCUGAAUACAUUACACAACUUUACAUCUUUUAUUUUUAAAGAAAGAAAGAAAAAGAAUUCUCAUUGUUUUAACAUACAGCACGCCAUGUUUCCUCUCGCUGCAAUCAGACUUAACUCUUGAAAUGCAAAAGAACUAAACAAAAAUAAUAAAGAAAUGUUAUAUACAAUUAUAGAAAUGCAUUACUUAUAAUACCUUUCCAGCAUCACUCUUAUAUAAUAUGUCAUCUGAUUUAUGUGUACUGAAUAUAAAUAUAAACUCUGAGCAUCUAAAUAAAAUAAACAAUAAAAAACAAUAAAAUAAAAUGUCUCAAAACAGGUAAUAAAUGAAUAAAUCCAGUCAUUAUAUCUAGAAAUUAGAUAAUAAAAACUAUUCUACAGGAGGCACAUACAUGAAGACAAGAAACUCACAUUUAAGUGUCACACAAAAGAUCGUAAAUAUAUAUAUAUAUAUAUAUAUAUAUAUAUAUAUAUAUAUAUA